AAAAUCUUGGUAGCAGCUACUAUUUACUACAUCCAAAUUACAAACAUGACGUAUCUUUCGUUCCUCUCCCUCCAAACGGAUGCAACUACUUUCAUUUUGAAUUUUCAUUUCGUCCAUUUCGUUCCUCUCCCCCCACCUCCCCGCAUUUCUUUCUUCCUCCCUCUCUGUUUCUUUCUUCCUCUUCUCCCUUCCCGUUUCUUUCAUUCUUCUCCCCCCCACCCCCCUGAGCUCCAGAACUCCUCUGCGACGUGAUUUCCCGAGAAGCCCUACACUGCGAUUUCGAGUUCCUCUGCACUAAGAUUUCGAGUUCCUCUCCCGAAACCUCGAGCUCCUCUGCAGUGCGAUUUCGAGUUCACAGUUCGACACACUGAGAUUGAAGCCCUCAAUCCACCGACGCGAAGCCCUUAGAUCUGCGGGAGGGAUAAAGCAUGC